CCGUGGAGGGCAGGAGGGCCAGGCAGAUGGAGAAAAUAAGGAGAGAGUCGCAGAAUAGAGGAAAUCCGCAGGAAAGCCCUAAGAGAAGCUGCACCAUUAAAGCUGGGCCUCCUUUCCGUCCCUUUAGGCUGUGGCUCCUAGAGCCGCAUCAGCAACGGAGCCCAGAAGCCAGCGGUGUGUGCGGCUCCCUGGUGUCACAAAGACACAUGCACCUGAGCGGCGCUGCCUCCUCUGUCAUCCAUGGAAGAGUCCCUGCCAGGCCAAGGCCAAGGCUGUUUCUUGCCCAUUCACUCCACCGGGCCCCCCUUCCGCCCUCCAGCAAGUGCCCUACGGAGCCAUGUUGGAUGGGGAGGAAUGGAUUCCCGCCCCAGACCCCUGUGGAUCCAGAAGACCAGGGCAGAGACCGAGGGGAGCACCUGCAGCGCGUGAGAGCCAGAGGGGGCCUUGGGAUCACCCGGUGCCGCCCUUGAUUCACGGAGGAAGGAAGGCGAGGCCGAGAAAGCAGGAAGGGACUCCGUUAACCGAUGGCAAUUUCGAGCCAGGGCCUCUUUUCUGUGUGAGGAGGGGAAGUGGUGGGAGCAGCCACCGUGGAUAAAUAUGAAAUGCUUCCCCCUGGUGCUCAGAGCCCUCUCGGCCGGCUGUUCUACCUUCUUGAGGGCGAGACUGUUCAUACCAUUCCUCUACUGGAGACCCCUUACCAGGCUUCUAGGUGCUUCUCAGACCCAGCCCAGCAGACGCCUCCUCCCUGGCUGGGUCCUGGCCUCUCCCCGGCUUGAGCAGUGCCCAGAGAGGAGA